rnacentral:rRNA from 1 species
GAUGAACGCUGGCGGCGUGCUUAACACAUGCAAGUCGAACGAAGCACUUUACUUGAUUUCUUCGGAAUGAUUGUUCUGUGACUGAGUGGCGGACGGGUGAGUAACGCGUGGGUAACCUGCCUCAUACAGGGGGAUAACAGUUGGAAACGACUGCUAAUACCGCAUAAGCGCACAGUAUCGCAUGAUACAGUGUGAAAAACUCCGGUGGUAUGAGAUGGACCCGNGUCUGAUUAGCUAGUUGUGGGGUAACGGCCUACCAAGGCGACGAUCAGUAGCCGACCUGAGAGGGUGACCGGCCACAUUGGGACUGAGACACGGGCCCAAAA